CAGAAUUCAAAACAAAACCUCUCCUGAAGCUUGGUUAGUUUGCUCCAGGAAAACCAAAACCGGCCAGCAGCAUGUUUCUUCUGACAACUGGGAGAGGAGGAAGAAGGCCAUGUUGUUCGGAGGAUGACCCUGAUGGAGCAACAGGUUCCAGUGACUGUCCUUGGCCCAAGAAAUGGUAGCCCAUUUGGUGGCAAAGGGCUAAGGUGGCCUCUGAUCCUUCUUUGGAGCAUGAAUUAUUUCACCGUUUUCAAGACAUGUGAUCUCAUUCAGAGGCCAGUGGGAAACCACCUCACUGUUGGAGAACUUUCCUGUACUUCAGUUUCCAUGUCUAUAAAAAGGUGGUGCUAAG
rnacentral:lncRNA from 1 species